rnacentral:rRNA from 1 species
AGUGAACGCUGGCGGUAGGCCUAACACAUGCAAGUCGAACGGCAGCACAGGAGAGCUUGCUCUCUGGGUGGCGAGUGGCGGACGGGUGAGGAAUACAUCGGAAUCUACUUUUUCGUAGGGGAUAACGUAGGGAAACUUACGCUAAUACCGCAUACGACCUACGGGUGAAAGCAGGGGAUCUUCGGACCUUGCGCGAUCGAAUGAGCCGAUGUCGGAUUAGCUAGUUGGCGGGGUAAAGGCCCACCAAGGGGACGAUCCGUAGCUGGUCUGAGAGGAUGAUCAGCCACACUGGAACUGAGACACGGUCCAGACUCCUACGGGAGGCAGCAGUGGGGAAUAUUGGACAAUGGGCGCAAGCCUGAUCCAGCCAUACCGCGUGGGUGAAGAAGGCCUUCGGGUUGUAAAGCCCUUUUGUUGGGAAAGAAAUCCAGCUGGUUAAUACCCGGUUGGGAUGACGGUACCCAAAGAAUAAGCACCGGCUAACUUCGUGCCAGCCGCCGCGGUAA